AAUAUUAGCGUAACAACAGUCAACUCGAACUCAUGGUGAAUCUUAUUGAGGUGUAUAAAAAUGAGACUGGAAACAUGACCCAGUGAUUUUGUUCAAGAUGCAUGUUGUACCUGAUAUGGACCUGAGCAAGUUGGGACAACCGUGAGUACCACAAAGUCUGCAAUUAUUAGGACACCAUCCAAGUGAAUCCUUCAGUUCUAAAUAUUGUACCUACUAGGAAUGAUUGCCAUACCGUGCAGUUAACCUCCUAAUAUUGAUAUCUUUGUGCAGUAUUUUUUUUAUCAAAGAUAGGGUAAAUAAUUGUGCCAUUUGUAUAAACCAUUAGACAAGAGAAUUUGAACCAUGUCACAAGAUAUAUCUAUUUAUAAGAGAAAUCUUUUUCUUUAUGGAUUUUUAAGCAGAUCAUGCUAUUUGGGAUUCCGAUUACCAUGAAAGAACUGGUGAGUGGUGACUGGUCAUGUAUGAAAACUUGAAUGCUUGAGCAAGGAGGAUCCUUCAGGUUUUCCCUCACUGUCCAAGAUUAACCGUAGGGGCUUGAGGAGGAAGAGGAGGUUUGAGGUGUUGGAUGAGAAAGGGCUAAUUGUGGUAGCUAUCAUUCUACCAGAAACUAAAUUGGAGCUUGUCAUUAUGGGUGCUAUAUUGUAGCAAAGAAAGGUUACUUUAGUGGUAAACCAUGAUGGUAGCUUGGAGAUUUCAUCCAUGUGAGAACAGUCAUCGAGCACAGAAAGUAAACCUGCUGAAAUAAAAUAACCUUCCAUUCCUUGGAUUAUGUGUGCAA